rnacentral:rRNA from 1 species
UUCGGGUCUAGUGGCGCACGGGUGCGUAACGCGUGGGAAUCUGCCCUUGGGUCUGGAAUAACAGUUAGAAAUGACUGCUAAUACCGGAUGAUGACUUCGGUCCAAAGAUUUAUCGCCCAAGGAUGAGCCCGCGUCGGAUUAGCUAGUUGGUGAGGUAAAAGCUCACCAAGGCGACGAUCCGUAGCUGGUCUGAGAGGAUGAUCAGCCACACUGGGACUGAGACACGGCCCAGACUCCUACGGGAGGCAGCAGUGGGGAAUAUUGGACAAUGGGCGAAAGCCUGAUCCAGCAAUGCCGCGUGAGUGAUGAAGGCCUUAGGGUUGUAAAGCUCUUUUACCCGGGAUGAUAAUGACAGUACCGGGAGAAUAAGCCCCGGCUAACUCCGUGCCAGCAGCCGCGGUAAUACGGAGGGGGCUAGCGUUGUUCGGAAUUACUGGGCGUAAAGCGCACGUAGGCGGCUUUGUAAGUUAGAGGUGAAAGCCCGGGGCUCAACUCGGGAAUUGCCUUUAAGACUGCAUCGCUAGAAUUGUGGAGAGGUAAGUGGAAUUCCGAGUGUAGAGGUGAAAUUCGUAGAUAUUCGGAAGAACACCAGUGGCGAAGGCGACUUACUGGACACAUAUUGACGCUGAGGUGCGAAAGCGUGGGGGAGCAAACAGGAUUAGAUACCCUGGUAGUCCACGCCGUAAACGAUGAUGACUAGCUGUCCGGGCACUUAGUGCUUGGGUGGCGCAGCUAACGCGUUAAGUCAUCC